CUACGGGUUGCUGCAGUGAGGAAUAUUGCACAAUGGGGGAAACCCUGAUGCAGCAACGCCGCGUGGAGGAUGACGCAUUUCGGUGUGUAAACUCCUUUUAUGAGUCAAGAAAAUGACGGUAGCUCAUGAAUAAGCACCGGCUAACUCCGUGCCAGCAGCCGCGGUAAUACGGAGGGUGCAAGCGUUACUCGGAAUCACUGGGCGUAAAGGGCGCGUAGGCGGGAUGUCAAGUCAGGUGUGAAAUCCUAUGGCUCAACCAUAGAACUGCACUUGAAACUGGCAACCUAGAGUAUGGGAGGGGGAGAUGGAAUUAGUGGUGUAGGGGUAAAAUCCGUAGAUAUCACUAGGAAUACCGAAAGCGAAGGCGAUCUCCUGGAACAUUACUGACGCUAAGGCGUGAAAGCGUGGGGAGCAAACAGGAUUAGAUACCCGAGUAGUC
rnacentral:rRNA from 1 species